rnacentral:rRNA from 1 species
CUCAGCGGCCAUACCACCCUGAGCGCGCCCGAUCUCGUCUGAUCUCGGAAGCUAAGCAGGGUCGGGCCUGGUUAGUACUUGGAUGGGAGACCGCCUGGGAAUACCAAGUGCUGUAAGCU